rnacentral:rRNA from 1 species
GAUGGACCCGCGGCGCAUUAGCUAGUUGGUGAGGUAACGGCUCACCAAGGCGACGAUGCGUAGCCGACCUGAGAGGGUGAUCGGCCACACUGGGACUGAGACACGGCCCAGACUCCUACGGGAGGCAGCAGUAGGGAAUCUUCCGCAAUGGACGAAAGUCUGACGGAGCAACGCCGCGUGAGGGAUGAAGGUUUUCGGAUCGUAAAGCUCUGUUGUUAGGGAAGAACAAGUGCCGUUCAAAUAGGGCGGCACCUUGACGGUACCUAACCAGAAAGCCACGGCUAACUACGUGCCAGCAGCCGCGGUAAU